UUACGGCCAUAUCACGUUGAAACGCCGGUUCUCGUACGAUCACCGAAGUUAAGCAACGUCGAGCCUGGUCAGUACUUAGAUGAGUGACCGCUUGGGAAUAUCAGGUGCUGUAAG